GCUGCUCAGUGUUGUCGGCCGGCGUCAAGGCGACGGUGUUGUUCUCUUCCUCUGACUGCGGUUGCUGUUCAGUUCAAUCCAGCCGGUCUGGUUGAGUAACACAGUCCAGGGACUGUGUCUAUGGUUGCUCCGCGGGCCGCUUUGCCGGCUGGUGCUUUUGUAUCAGGGCAAGCAGUAUUCCAUGGCAGGGAACUUCUGGCAGAGCUCCCACUAUUUGCAGUGGAUUUUGGAUAAACAAGAUCUGUUGAAAGAGCGCCAGAAGGACCUAAAGUUUCUCUCAGAAGAGGAGUAUUGGAAAUUACAAAUAUUUUUUACAAAUGUUAUCCAAGCAUUAGGGGAACAUCUUAAAUUAAGACAACAAGUUAUUGCUACUGCUACAGUCUAUUUCAAGAGAUUCUAUGCCAGGUAUUCUCUGAAAAGUAUAGAUCCUGUAUUAAUGGCUCCUACAUGUGUGUUUCUGGCAUCCAAAGUAGAGGUAAUGUCUUUAGGAUAAUUGUAUCCAUGUGAAUUGAAUGACUUUAACCAGAAUUUGGUGUCGUCUCAAAUACAAGAUUGAUUGCUGCUACUACUUCUGUAUUAAAAACUAGAUUUUCAUAUGCCUUUCCAAAGGAAUUUCCUUACAGGAUGAAUCAUAUACUAGAAUGUGAAUUUUACCUCUUAGAAUUAAUGGACUGUUGCUUGAUAGUGUAUCAUCCUUAUAGACCUUUGCUCCAGUAUGUGCAGGACAUGGGCCAAGAAGACGUGUUGCUUCCCCUUGCAUGGAGGAUAGUGAAUGACACCUACAGGACGGAUCUUUGUCUUCUGUAUCCUCCUUUCAUGAUAGCUUUAGCUUGCCUACAUGUAGCCUGUGUUGUACAACAGAAAGACGCUAGACAAUGGUUUGCAGAACUUUCUGUGGAUAUGGAGAAGAUUUUGGAAAUAAUCAGGGUUAUUUUAAAACUGUAUGAGCAGUGGAAGAAUUUUGAUGAGAGAAAAGAGAUGGCGACUAUUCUUAGUAAGAUGCCGAAACCAAAACCACCUCCGAACAGAAGCUCCCUGAGUGAUUCUCCACUAAUGGCAGGGCCUGAAGCUGCAAGAUGAUGGUGGACAAGAUAAUGCAAUCUCCUAUUGUCACAGUUACUGGUAUUUUCAGCUUUAGUUAUUUUUAUUUUAAUAUUCGGCAUUUUUCCAAGAAAUCACCAUAUUUUUGAUGUAUAAAGAUUUGUUAUCAUUUCCAUAUGAUUUUAUGCCAUUGGACAACAGUUUUUUUUCUUUUUUCUUUCUUUUUUUUUUUUGAAAGACAUUUUGGAUUUUCCUAAAGAGUAGAAAUAGAAUUUUAUAUGUCAGAUUUAAUUUUGUAGGAAAUUCGUUCAGAAGAAGUUGUAAUCUCUAUGUUGAGUGAUACCUGUAAUAAUGUGAAACCCUAAACUCUAACUUAAAUCUUUGAAUGUAUAUGGACACUAACUUCUGGACUGCUUGUUAUGUAUGAGGGCCUCAAGUUACAGAAGAAUAAAAACAUAAAACC
rnacentral:lncRNA from 1 species